rnacentral:rRNA from 1 species
UAGGGAAUCUUCGGCAAUGGGGGCAACCCUGACCGAGCAACGCCGCGUGAGUGAAGAAGGUUUUCGGAUCGUAAAGCUCUGUUGUAAGAGAAGAACGUGUGUGAGAGUGGAAAGUUCACACAGUGACGGUAACUUACCAGAAAGGGACGGCUAACUACGUGCCAGCAGCCGCGGUAAUACGUAGGUCCCGAGCGUUGUCCGGAUUUAGUGGGCGUAAAGCGAGCGCAGGCGGUUUAAUAAGUCUGAAGUUAAAGGCAGUGGCUUAACCAUUGUUCGCUUUGGAAACUGUUAAACUUGAGUGCAGAAGGGGAGAGUGGAAGUCCAUGUGUAGCGGUGAAAUGCGUAUAUAUAUGGAGGAACACCGGUGGCGAAAGCGGCUCUCUGGUCUGUAACUGACGCUGAGGCUCGAAAGCGUGGGGAGCAAACAGG